AAGGGUUUUGCCAAGUGGUAAGGCACAGCACUUUGACUGCUGCAUUCACAGGUUCAAAUCCUGUAACCCUUG
rnacentral:tRNA from 1 species